UGCGUAGGCGGUUUUUUAAGUCAGAUGUGAAAUACCCGGGCUUAACCUGGGGGGUGCAUUUGAAACUGGGGAACUUGAGUGCAGGAGAGGAAAGUGGAAUUCCUAGUGUAGCGGUGAAAUGCGUAGAUAUUAGGAGGAACACCAGUGGCGAAGGCGACUUUCUGGACUGUAACUGACGCUGAGGCACGAAAGCGUGGGGAGCAAACAGGAUUAGAUACCCUGGUAGUCCACGCUGUAAACGAUGGAUACUAGGUGUAGGGGGCGAUAGCUCUCUGUGCCGCAGCUAACGCAAUAAGUAUCCCGCCUGGGGAGUACGAUCGCAAGGUUGAA
rnacentral:rRNA from 1 species